GAUGAACGCUGGCGGCGUGCCUAAUACAUGCAAGUCGAGCGAAUGGAUUAAGAGCUUGCUCUUAUGAAGUUAGCGGCGGACGGGUGAGUAACACGUGGGUAACCUGCCCAUAAGACUGGGAUAACUCCGGGAAACCGGGGCUAAUACCGGAUAACAUUUUGAACCGCAUGGUUCGAAAUUGAAAGGCGGCUUCGGCUGUCACUUAUGGAUGGACCCGCGUCGCAUUAGCUAGUUGGUGAGGUAACGGCUCACCAAGGCAACGAUGCGUAGCCGAGCUGAGAGGGUGAGCGGCCAAGAUGGGACUGAGACACGGCCCAGACUCCUACGGGAGGUAGCAGUAGGGAAUCUUCCGCAAUGGACGAAAGUCUGACGGAGCAACGCCGCGUGAGUGAUGAAGGCUUUCGGGUCGUAAAACUCUGUUGUUAGGGAAGAACAAGUGCUAGUUGAAUAAGCUGGCACCUUGACGGUACCUAACCAGAAAGCCACGGCUAACUACGUGCCAGCCGCCGCCGUAA
rnacentral:rRNA from 1 species